GGAAAGGUACACUCAGCAGUUAGGAAUUGAGUAACUUGAUUGGCUGUAGAGAAAGAGGGACUUUAGGACGGAGAAAGGGAGCGGGCCAUCUGCAAAGAAAAAAGUAAUGGGACUGCAUCCCAAGGUGUCCCAUUGUGAAAACACACCUGAUGGUAAAUGGACAUUCAGACAAUACUGAUGGCUGGACUAUUGGUGGCUGCUGGUGUUCAUUCUGUGUAAAAGAGUUGCCUUAAAGAAGUUCAAGUAGUAUCAUGUCAACCACAGAAUAGCUGGCAUGAAACAGUUACUGUUGUCUGAAGUAGAUGAUACAAUAAAUGGCCACAAGUCAGCUUCAAAUGUGUCUCCAACCCCCCU